rnacentral:rRNA from 1 species
UGGGGAAUUUUGGACAAUGGGGGAAACCCUGAUCCAGCCAUCCCGCGUGUGCGAUGAAGGCCUUCGGGUUGUAAAGCACUUUUGGCAGGAAAGAAACGUCGCGGGUUAAUACCCCGCGAAACUGACGGUACCUGCAGAAUAAGCACCGGCUAACUACGUGCCAGCAGCCGCGGUAAUACGUAGGGUGCAAGCGUUAGUCGGAAUUACUGGGCGUAAAGCGUGCGCAGGCGGUUCGGAAAGAAAGAUGUGAAAUCCCAGAGCUUAACUUUGGAACUGCAUUUUUAACUACCGGGCUAGAGUGUGUCAGAGGGAGGUGGAAUUCCGCGUGUAGCAGUGAAAUGCGUAGAUAUGCGGAGGAACACCGAUGGCGAAGGCAGCCUCCUGGGAUAACACUGACGCUCAUGCACGAAAGCGUGGGGAGCAAACAGGAUUAGAUACCCUGGUAGUCCACGCCCUAAACGAUGUCAACUAGCUGUUGGGGCCUUCGGGCCUUGGUAGCGCAGCUAACGCGUGAAGUUGACCGCCUGGGGAGUACGGUCGCAAGAUUAAAACUCAAAGG